rnacentral:rRNA from 1 species
GACGAACGCUGGCGGCGUGCUUAACACAUGCAAGUCGAACGAAGAGCGAUGGAAGCUUGCUUCUAUCAAUCUUAGUGGCGCACGGGUGAGUAACGCGUAAUCAACCUGCCCUUCAGAGGGGGACAACAGUUGGAAACGACUGCUAAUACCGCAUACGAUCUAAUCUCGGCAUCGAGGAUAGAUGAAAGGUGGCCUCUACAUGUAAGCUAUCACUGAAGGAGGGGAUUGCGUCUGAUUAGCUAGUUGGAGGGGUAACGGCCCACCAAGGCGAUGAUCAGUAGCCGGUCUGAGAGGAUGAACGGCAACAUUGGGACUGAGACACGGCCCAGACUCCUACGGGAGGCAGCAGUGGGGAAUCUUCCGCAAUGGACGAAAGUCUGACGGAGCAACGCCGCGUGAGUGAUGACGGCCUUCGGGUUGUAAAGCUCUGUUAAUCGGGACGAAAGGCCUUCUUGCGAAUAGUGAGAAGGAUUGACGGUACCGGAAUAGAAAGCCACGGCUAACUACGUG